rnacentral:lncRNA from 1 species
AGAUUUUUGAAAACACUUUUCAUCAGUAUGCUGGAGUGUUCUCUCCAGCCUAUUCACCACAGCAUCUUAUUGCCAUGGACAAUAUUCACCAUGAAUUUAUGAGCUACAAUUUAGAAGAUUUUCUUUUUCGAUAGUUAACCAUGGAAUAUAUAGAUUCCCUACAGCUGUUGUUAAUGGAAAUAAGUCCUCUAUUACCAAUGCAGAAGAAGAACAUACAGAGAUUCCAUCUGGAUGUUCCAUCAGUUUUGCAUAGAAAGUCUUCCAAUAAUGCACAUAUGAAGAGUACUCGUUACAAAUGCAGAGUAAAAAUCCCUAUGUCUUCAUAAAUUGUGUGGAGCGGUGACGGAUUUCUACCUCAUAGUCAUGUGUUCUACCUCCAUCUUGUAAAAUGAAGAGAAAACUAUUUCAUUUUCCACAAAACCAUGCAGCUGCAGGGAGGAAAAAGGUCGAAGCUUCUAAGUUCCCAAGAUUUUCUUCUAUGAUUGCCUCAAGCCAAAGGUCUUCAGCAUGGAUUUGAUAGUGGUAUUGUAAAAUUAACGAUGGCUUUUUUAGAUAUUGUGUUUAAUUUUGAAACGACACUUCCUGAGGGAAGUAUAAUAAAAAUUGUUUACCUU